rnacentral:snRNA from 1 species
GCACUCACUGCAGCAGUAUAUAUACUAAAAUUGGAACGACAGAGAGAUUAGCAUGGCCCCUGUGCAAGGAUGACACGCUUGAUGUGUUCCAUAGUUUA